rnacentral:rRNA from 1 species
GGACCCGCACAAGCGGUGGAGCAUGUGGUUUAAUUCGAUGCAACGCGAAAAACCUUACCUACUCUUGACAUACUUGGAAGCUCUUGUAAUGAGAGUGUGCCUUUUGGAGCCAAGAUACAGGUGCUGCAUGGCUGUCGUCAGCUCGUGUCGUGAGAUGUUCCGUUAAGUCGGAUAACGAGCGCAACCCUUACCCUUAUUUGCCAGCGAUUCGGUCGGGAACUAUAAGGGGACUGCCGGUGAUAAACCGGAGGAAGGUGAGGACGACGUCAAGUCAUCAUGGCCCUUACGAGUAGGGCUACACACGUGCUACAAUGGGGAAUACAGACGGACGCUAAGCCGCGAGGUGGUGCUAAUCCCAAAAAAGUUGCUCAGUUCGGAUUGGAGUCUGCAACUCGACUCCAUGAAGUUGGAAUC